rnacentral:tRNA from 1 species
GGAGGUGUCCGGACGCCUGGUGGGUCCCCCGGUCUUCAACACCGGUGAGGGGUUGUUCACAACCCCUGGCGGGUUCGAUUCCCGUCCGCCUCCG